UACGAAGGGGGCUAGCGUUGUUCGGAAUUACUGGGCGUAAAGCGCGCGCAGGCGGCCUUACAAGUCAGGGGUGAAAGCCCGGAGCUCAACUCCGGAAUUGCCUUUGAAACUGUUUGGCUCGAGUACGGGAGAGGUGAGUGGAAUUCCCAGUGUAGAGGUGAAAUUCGUAGAUAUUGGGAAGAACACCGGUGGCGAAGGCGGCUCACUGGCCCGUUUCUGACGCUCAUGCGCGACAGCGUGGGGAUCAAACAGG
rnacentral:rRNA from 1 species